GUUUGGCAGUUGGUGUCAAGUAUGAGAGCAGUGUAUCAUGGUCCUGGACAGUUAGACAGCAGCAAGGGUAUGAUGUAUAAAGAGUUUCAAUUAUUUUGAAACCAAGAAAGAGUGAAGGAGGCAGGGAAGAGAGAACCACCUUUGGAUAAGUGCUUAAUAAAGGUGUGCCUCACAACUACAGCAAAAGUUAGGAAGCGUGAGACUGCCUUCCCUAGGAAGUAAACUUCUUAGCAUACCGAUCAGAAGAGUUUCCUCUUUGUCUUCAAUAGAUCAAUACCACUAAAGCUUCCAAAGCAUCUAUGCAACAGAGGGCUCCAUUUCAGAAUUCACCCAUGGGUUGGCUUCAAACACACCGGUCAAUACCUGCAGCUCAUCAAUUUCACAGGUCCUCUGACCAUACCUUACAUGGAUCUAAUAUCAAGAGCUCUGUCGAGAAAACUGUAAACAAGAGUUUACCUACAGAAGCGCUUCACCUGCGGCUGCACUCAGAACAUCUCGCAGAGCCAUCUGGGUGCCAUCCUUGAAUCUGGAAGACAGAAAAAGGCAUCAGGGAGCUGUUUACUAUACUUUGAACACCUGGCCUCUACUAGAACAUUGUCUGAUUUUAAACUUGUUAUCACGCCACAGAGAAUUCCAACACAGCUACCAGGUAAGGCCCAUUUAUUAAGGCAAAGUAACAAAGAAUCCCCUUGAUACUGAGAAUGACAGAACAAACUUCUGGACCU
rnacentral:lncRNA from 1 species